CCUACGGGUGGCAGCAGUAGGGAAUCUUUGACAAUGGGCGCAAGCCUGAUGGAGCAACGCCGCGUGCAGGAUGAAGGCCUUCCGGUUUGUAACUGCCUUUUUAAACGAGAUAUAGGAUGGCAACUGAUGAAUAUGGAUCGGCUAUCUACGUGCCAGCAGCCGCGGUCCUAUGCAGGAUCCGAGCGUUAUCCGGAGUGACUGAGUGUAAUAAGUUGCGUAUGUGGGAUAAUAAGUAGCUAAUGGAAUGUGGUGGCUCAACCAUUCAGACUAUAAGCGAUACUGGUAGGCUUGAGACCGUUAGGGGUAACUGGAAUUGGUAGUGGAGGAGUGAAAUACGUAGAUAUUAGAAAGAACACCGAUAGCGAAGGCAGGUUACUAGGACGGUUCUGACACUAAGGCACGAAAGUGUAGGGAGCAAACGGGAUUAGAUACCCCAGUAGUC
rnacentral:rRNA from 1 species